rnacentral:tRNA from 2 species
GCGGAUGUGGUGAAAUUGGCAGACACGUUAGAUUUAGGUUCUAAUACCGAGAGGUGUGCAGGUUCAAGUCCUGUCAUCCGCACCA